UACGUAGAAGACUAGUGUUAUUCGGAAUUACUGGGCGUAAAGCGCACGUAGGCGGCUUUGUAAGUUAGAGGUGAAAGCCUGGAGCUCAACUCCAGAAUUGCCUUUAAGACUGCAUCGCUUGAAUCCAGGAGAGGUGAGUGGAAUUCCGAGUGUAGAGGUGAAAUUCGUAGAUAUUCGGAAGAACACCAGUGGCGAAGGCGGCUCACUGGACUGGUAUUGACGCUGAGGUGCGAAAGCGUGGGGAGCAAACAGG
rnacentral:rRNA from 1 species